AGAAGAAGAAGAAGAUGAAGAAGAAGGAGAAGAAGAAGGAGAAGGAGAAGGAGAAGAAGAAGAAGAUGAAGAAGAAGGAGGAGUAGAGGAAGAAGAAGAAGAUGAUGAUGAUGAAGAAGAAGAAGAGAAAAUCAAGGUUAAGGAGAUCAAUGAGAACUUGAAAAGAAAGAGGUACUCUUUCAGGAAUUUGAGCGUAAGGAAAACAAAGAAAGCAAAGCUUGAGAUCAAAAAGCAAAAGCAAAAUCAUACGCAGAAGAAGAAGAAGAAGA
rnacentral:lncRNA from 1 species